UGGGGAAUUUUGGACAAUGGGCGAAAGCCUGAUCCAGCAAUGCCGCGUGUGUGAAGAAGGCCUUCGGGUUGUAAAGCACUUUUGUCCGGAAAGAAAUCCUUGGCUCUAAUACAGUCGGGGGAUGACGGUACCGGAAGAAUAAGCACCGGCUAACUACGUGCCAGCAGCCGCGGUAAUACGUAGGGUGCAAGCGUUAAUCGGAAUUACUGGGCGUAAAGCGUGCGCAGGCGGUUUGCUAAGACCGAUGUGAAAUCCCCGGGCUCAACCUGGGAACUGCAUUGGUGACUGGCAGGCUAGAGUAUGGCAGAGGGGGGUAGAAUUCCACGUGUAGCAGUGAAAUGCGUAGAGAUGUGGAGGAAUACCGAUGGCGAAGGCAGCCCCCUGGGCCAAUACUGACGCUCAUGCACGAAAGCGUGGGGAGCAAACAGGAUUAGAUACCCUGGUAGUCCACGCCCUAAACGAUGUCAACUAGUUGUUGGGGAUUCAUUUCCUUAGUAACGUAGCUAACGCGUGAAGUUGACCGCCUGGAGGANCGGUCGCAAGAUUAAAACUCAAAUGAAUUGACGGGGUCAUAGCUGUUUCCU
rnacentral:rRNA from 1 species